UGGGUAACCAGGCAGCAUACAUACCAGGCUGGCUAGAGCAGUGUUUGCUGGGAAAAGCUCCAAGGGGCAGAACCAGUGUCCGAUGCACGAGCCCCCGCUGCACAUGACAUUUAGGGCAGUGCACAGAGAACCAGCAGGGCUGGCUGAGUGUCAGGCUCCAGGAGAGAAAUUCUGACACUAGGCGGUGGGGCUUUAAAGCUGCACCAGCUCCUCUUCUGAUAUGCAGAGAUAGGACCCUUGUUUAUGAAUUUCCAAGCCUAAAUUUCUUAUACUGCAUCAUGCAUCUCCUCAAUGUUCGGCACUAAUGAGGUAAGACAUCAUCUAAAAUUAGGCAGUCAAUCCCCCAUGGCAUUUGACGUGGGGGCUGUGAUUUCUGGAGAGUCAAG
rnacentral:lncRNA from 1 species